AUACGGAGGAUCCGAGCGUUAUCCGGAUUUAUUGGGUUUAAAGGGUGCGCAGGCGGGAGAUUAAGUCGGCGGUGAAAUUUUGCAGCUCAACUGUAAAAGUGCCUUCGAAACUGGUUUCCUUGAGUGUAGAUGAAGUAGGCGGAAUUUGUGGUGUAGCGGUGAAAGGCAUAGAUAUCACGGGGAAAUCCGAUUGCGCAGGCAGCUUACUAAACUGCUACUGACGCGCAGGCACGAAGGCGUGGGGAUCAAGCAGGAUUAGAUACCCUGGUAGUCCACGCAGUAAACGAUGGCCACCCGCGGUUUGGCCUGUAUGGCUGAGCCGUCAAGCGAAAGCGUUAAGUGUCCAACCUGGGGAGUUCGCCGGCAACGGUGUAACUUAAAGGAAUUGACGGGG
rnacentral:rRNA from 1 species